AGCUUAGCAAGGCAAUAAGUUGUUGACAUUGAGCCGUAGUGAGAGAACGCAAUGGAGACCCUUAGUCCAAUUGCUCAGAAACAACCCUAAGGCUAUGUUUGGUUCCUGAAAAAUGCUAAGGAAAGGAAAAAAAAUCAUGUGAAAAAUGAUUUUUUUUAGUUUGGGUGACAUGGAAAAUACAAUGGAAAAAAAAUAUAAAGGAAAAUAUUAAAGAAAAUAUCAUAAUAUUUUCCCUACUAUUUUCCUUAAGGAAAAUAAGAGAAAAGAGAGGGGAAAAGUUGGGGGAAAUUUUAUCGAGGUGGUAUCGGCUUGCCAUAAGUGAAGGCUUUGCGAACGAAGGGACCGAGAUCUUCAUUGUUGCAGAUGGUGAGGGAGAGGAGAAGUUGAUCAAACUUCUCAGAUGAGUCGCCGUUGGCGGUCGCCGGGACCACUUUGCAGUGCAUUUUCGACGACUCCAUCAUUGUUUAACCAUUGGAGACGAUGAAGGAGUAGUGGUUGUACGCUCUAGGUUUCAUUAGGAAACUCAUUUUCUCGCUCUUUCACUUUCUGGGUCUCUCUGAUUUCUUGGAAACUGACGUUUUGUGGUUCGAAACGCAGACGCAAGUGCUGGAAUACUCGCUUGCAUCGGCGGUUCUGAUCCGUGAAAUCCUGUCGGUGAUGAAGUUCGGGGAGGCGGUUUGCGGCGGCGAUGCGCCGUAUGUCUGUACGACUUCGAGGUAGGAGAAGAGAUCAGACAGUUGACCAAUUGUAAACACAUUUUCCACCGGAGCUGUCUGGACCGUUGGAUGGAUCACGAUAAGAAGACCUAUUUGAAGAAAAUUUAAACAGCAUAGGAUCACAUGUUGACAUUUAAGCAUGCAUUGAACGGCAAAAACGGAAACGUUCACCUUGGUUAAUUCCGUGAAAAGGCCAUUUCUAGCUCUUUUCUGGUAUUCAGGAAGCUCCUCCAGUGCUUGAUGGUGCGAGAAUUACAGGUCAAUGAGCUCUUCCCUUCUACACCCGGAUUCAGUCCCAAAACGAGAGUGCGUGCUCUCUUUCAGCCAAAGGAGGAAGGAGCAAGUGCCAACCCGCCAGAGAGAGCCUUUCCUUUUCUUUUAUAUAUAUAUAUAUAUAUAUAAAUAAAUAAAUAUAUUCAUAUAUAUAUAUAUCACACACAUUAUUUGGACCACCACUUGACUUAAUGGGCCAGUCAAGUGAAUUAGGGUGAGCCCAUAAAAAAUCAAGCAACAAUAUGUGUCCAGUCCCAUUAUGGACCACAAUGCAAAAAUAAAUAACACUGAUUUAUGACAUUAUUAAAUUGAUUAUGUAAGUCCACACAUAAAAAUUCCAACACUAUCCGCUUUGUAGGACCCCAUUUGUGCCUAAUGAGAUGCAAGAUGAGUUUAAUCAACGGCUCUAGGGCUGCCUCUGGGAUCACAUGGGUUUUAUUUUAUGUUUAAAAUUUUGGUAUGGUGAGGGUGAGAGGGUUGAACUGUAUAUACAUGAAGAAAAAAAAAAUCUGCCUAGUACCAAUAAAAAAGGGUAAGUUUUCAAUAGUUAUUGAACAAUGGGCUCCCACAAAAUGCAUUCUUCUAUAAUUAGUUUUUAGAAAAUAAGAGCACAAAAUUUAUUUUAUUAUUUAACAAAUUGAUAAUUAUUUAAGGCAAAUUAUUGAUUUUGUUUUUCUUCUAUUUUUUCCUUAACUUUUUUUUUUUUGUGGUUAACCAAACAAAAGAAAAUGAAUUCUUUUUUUUUUUUUCCUGAUUUUUUUAUAGAUAACCAAACAAGUGAAAAAAUUUAUAUUCCUUUCAUUAGUUUUUUCUUUCCUUCCAUUUUUCCUCCCAAUUUUCUUUCUCUCGCAUUUUCCGAGAACCAAACAUAGCCUAAAGGUUUGAUUGAUUUGGCCUUUGGAUUCGGAGAGGACUUCAAUUUGGGUUUAUAUACAAGGGGAUACCCAUGGAGCUUAUAGCAUUUGUCCAUGGUAUGCCCUUAGAGACCACUGUGAGUGCAGAUAGGACGAUCACGCCGAGGUUUGGGAGUGAAAC
rnacentral:lncRNA from 1 species